GAGAAAUUGGUAUUUCAUUACGAUGUAAUUUCUCGACAUUAGUCACAGAGGCGGAGCAAAGGUUAAUAAUUAAUGCGAUCUUCGGUUACGAUGUAUGCGCCUACGGAUUUCCAGUAUUGUUUAUAGUUGAGUAAGAGGGCUUGAACAGUCUUUGAGAAGCGGGUCUUGAAAGCAAAAGUCCAAGAAACUAGAAGAUGAAGUCCAUCUAUUGUCUAUAUGCCAUCAUGCUAGCAGUUGCUACAAUUUCAGAAGUUUACAGUGGAAAGUGUGAAUUUAUGUGUUUACGGAAAGCGAUCAGAUGUAAACGACAAAAGAAAGAUUAUUGCUGCGAAGAGUUUAAAAAGUGUGGACUAGAAAAAUGUGGAGAGCCAGACUUAAGAUGUGAAGAUAAAAGAGGAAGCUGGAACAAAAGAUAUUACAAUGAUUUCGAAUUAUCACAAGAAGAAGACGAAGAUAUGUCAUUACCUUAUUUUUAAAACAUCAAAGCUUUUGCAGCAUAACAAUACGUGGUUAUCAUCUUCAUUCACAUUAAAAUUUUGGAAAUUAAAAGAUCAUCUUAUCAGCAUUUCAAUUGACAUUUUUGUUUUGAAGACACAGUUAAAAUAUAUUGGAGUGGACACAGCAAUUGGGACGUGAAAGCUUUUGCUAUUAUAUAAUAUAUAAAACGUGCUUAAAUUUUAAGGUGGAUCGUUAAAAACUAUUGAAAUUUUAUUGCAUACUAAUGUAGCCAAAUUAUAUAAUAUAAAAGCGUGAAAUGUUAAACAUGGAAUUUUGCUAGAAAAAUAAAUUGGUCAGGAAAAUA